UACGUAGGGUGCGAGCGUUGUCCGGAAUUAUUGGGCGUAAAGGGCUCGUAGGCGGUCUGUCACGUCGGGUGUGAAAAUCCAGGGCUUAACCCUGGACCUGCAUUCGAUACGGGCAGACUAGAGUUCGGUAGGGGAGACUGGAAUUCCUGGUGUAGCGGUGAAAUGCGCAGAUAUCAGGAGGAACACCGGUGGCGAAGGCGGGUCUCUGGGCCGAUACUGACGCUGAGGAGCGAAAGCGUGGGGAGCGAACAGG
rnacentral:rRNA from 1 species